rnacentral:lncRNA from 1 species
GCUGGGCAUGACUCUGGAGAAACGGAAUACCGGAUAUCCAAUUUUGGAUAUCCGGUUAGUUGUGCGCAUGCUCAUGCUCAAACCGCAACACUGAAUUCGCGCGGGCGUCAUUAGUUUCAAUUAGAAAUAAAAUUGUAGAAUUUGUCGAAAAUUUGAUACUUUUUACAUUGAAAUCAAUUGAAAAAGAUUUAUUUUCUUGUGCUAAAAGUUACAGAUUAAAUAUAUAUGCGGUGUAUAUAAAUUAAGCUUUCUUAUGGAUUUUAUACGGUCAAGAAAUGGUAUCGAGAGACUUCGCAAGAAGGCCACUGACAGAGGUUUAGAGGAUCUAGAUUUAUACUACAUACUAUUUAGUAUUUAAUAGAUAGUUUUUAUAAUAUUCAAAUAUCUAGAAUGCUUGAUGUGCCACUGUGGACCUAUGGCUGGUUAGCCUAUUUUGUUUAUUACAAUUAAAUAAUAUAAUUGGUGCCUUGGUGUAUAAUUGAUACUUAAAAUGAGUAUGAUUGUAUGAAAAUACUUCCCUCUGUUUAAUUAACUCUGUAUCACUCCUUUGAUUUAACAUUGUGCAUUGCAUUCAUACAAACAGUUCCAUGGUUAUAUGUAUUUAAUUGAG